rnacentral:rRNA from 1 species
CCGAGUUGUAAUCUCUAGAAAUGUUUUCCGCGUUGGACCGCGACACAAGUCUGUUGGAAUACAGCGGCAUAGUGGUGAGACCCCCGUAUAUGGUGCGGACGCCCAGCGCUUUGUGAUACAUUUUCGAAGAGUCGAGUUGUUUGGGAAUGCAGCUCAAAUUGGGUGGUAAAUUCCAUCUAAAGCUAAAUAUUGGCGAGAGACCGAUAGCGAACAAGUACCGUGAGGGAAAGAUGAAAAGCACUUUGGAAAGAGAGUUAACAGUACGUGAAAUUGUUGGAAGGGAAACGCUUGAAGUCAGACUUGCUUGCCGAGCAAUCGGUUUGCAGGCCAGCAUCAGUUUUCCGGGAUGGAUAAUGGUAGAGAGAAGGUAGCAGUUUUCGGCUGUGUUAUAGCUCUCUGCUGGAUACAUCUUGGGGGACUGAGGAACGCAGUGUGCCUUUGGCGGGGGUUUCGACCUCUUCACACUUAGGAUGCUGGGGGAAUGGCUUUAAACGAC